CAUCAACUGAAGAUCCGGGGAUCAUGUCAGAACUGCCAAAAAAAGUUGUUGCAUCAGACAAGUUGAUGUCAAGGUAGCACGAUGCUCCACGACCUUCAAAA
rnacentral:misc_RNA from 1 species